rnacentral:rRNA from 1 species
AGACCCGAAACCCGGUGAUCUAGCCAUGGGCAGGUUGAAGGUUGGGUAACACUAACUGGAGGACCGAACCGACUAAUGUUGAAAAAUUAGCGGAUGACCUGUGGCUGGGGGUGAAAGGCCAAUCAAACCGGGAGAUAGCUGGUUCUCCCCGAAAGCUAUUUAGGUAGCGCCUCGUGAAUUCAUCUCCGGGGGUAGAGCACUGUUUCGGCUAGGGGGCCAUCCCGGCUUACCAACCCGAUGCAAACUGCGAAUACCGGAGAAUGUUAUCACGGGAGACACACGGCGGGUGCUAACGUCCGUCGUGAAGAGGGAAACAACCCAGACCGCCAGCUAAGGUCCCAAAGUCAUGGUUAAGUGGGAAACGAUGUGGGAAGGCCCAGACAGCCAGGAUGUUGGCUUAGAAGCAGCCAUCAUUUAAAGAAAGCGUAAUAGCUCACUGGUCGAGUCGGCCUGCGCGGAAGAUGUAACGGGGCUAAACCAUGCACCGAAGCUGCGGCAGCGACGCUUAUGCGUUGUUGGGUAGGGGAGCGUUCUGUAAGCCUGCGAAGGUGGCCUGUGAGGGUUGCUGGAGGUAUCAGAAGUGCGAAUGCUGACAUAAGUAACGAUAAAGCGGGUGAAAAGCCCGCUCGCCGGAAGACCAAGGGUUCCUGUCCAACGUUAAUCGGGGCAGGGUGAGUCGACCCCUAAGGCGAGGCCGAAAGGCGUAGUCGAUGGGAAACGGGUUAAUAUUCCCGUACUUGGUGUUACUGCGAAGGGGGGACGGAGAAGGCUAUGUUGGCCGGGCGACGGUUGUCCCGGUUUAAGCGUGUAGGUGUGUGUUCCAGGUAAAUCCGGUUCACUUUAACACUGAGGCGUGAUGACGAGGCACUACGGUGCUGAAGCAACAAAUGCCCUGCUUCCAGGAAAAGCCUCUAAGCAUCAGGUAACAUCAAAUCGUACCCCAAACCGACACAGGUGGUCAGGUAGAGAAUACCAAGGCGCUUGAGAGAACUCGGGUGAAGGAACUAGGCAAAAUGGUGCCGUAACUUCGGGAGAAGGCACGCUGACAUGUAGGUGAAGUGAUUUACUCAUGGAGCUGAAGUCAGUCGAAGAUACCAGCUGGCUGCAACUGUUUAUUAAAAACACAGCACUGUGCAAACACGAAAGUGGACGUAUACGGUGUGACGCCUGCCCGGUGCCGGAAGGUUAAUUGAUGGGGUCAGCGCAAGCGAAGCUCCUGAUCGAAGCCCCGGUAAACGGCGGCCGUAACUAUAACGGUCCUAAGGUAGCGAAAUUCCUUGUCGGGUAAGUUCCGACCUGCACGAAUGGCGUAAUGAUGGCCAGGCUGUCUCCACCCGAGACUCAGUGAAAUUGAACUCGCUGUGAAGAUGCAGUGUACCCGCGGCAAGACGGAAAGACCCCGUGAACCUUUACUAUAGCUUGACACUGAACAUUGAGCCUUGAUGUGUAGGAUAGGUGGGAGGCUUU